CAGGAGGUAGUUUAAAAGAAAAAUUUUGGCUUUGGGAGCCAAGGAUGGGGGCUUGUCUCCUCCCCUCUUGA
rnacentral:tRNA from 2 species